rnacentral:misc_RNA from 1 species
UUUCCGUAGGUGAACCUGCGGAAGGAUCAUUAAAGAGUAAGGGUCUUCGGGCCCGAUCUCCAACCCUUUGUUUAACUACCAUGUUGCUUUGGCGGGCCCGUCUCACGACCGCCGGAAGUUUGGCUUCGACCAAACUUCUGGCCCGUGCCCGUCAGUGGCCCCUUCAAAUUCUUGAUCAAGUAUGAUGUCUUAGUUAAAAACUUAAUAGUUAAAACUUUCAACAACGGAUUUCUUGGUUCUG